UACGUAGGUGGCAAGCGUUGUCCGGAAUUAUUGGGCGUAAAGCGCGCGCAGGCGGUCCUUUAAGUCUGAUGUGAAAGCCCACGGCUCAACCGUGGGGGGUCAUUGGAAACUGGGGGACUUGAGUUCGGGAGAGGUGAGUGGAAUGCCGAGUGUAGAGGUGAAAUUCGUAGAUAUUCGGCGGAACACCAGUGGCGAAGGCGACUCUUUGGCCUGUAACUGACGCUGAGGCGCGAAAGCGUGGGGAGCGAACGGG
rnacentral:rRNA from 1 species